AAACACAAGCUACAUUUGCAAUUGGAAAAUUCAGCAUGUAACCCAAAGUCCAUUACAAAUUUUCAGUUUGUAGUUGUAGAAGUCAAAACUAGUUUUUGUAAUUGACCUGAUUCAAUGGUUGAAAGGUCAGAUGAUUAGCUUUUGAUUUGGAACUGGACAUAUAAUAACAAUUUGGAGCCAAAUAAAAAACUGAGUUGUCUUUUUCUACAUACCUCUCCCUUUUGAAACUAGAAUUGUUGAACUAAUUUUCGACCUCUUUCAAAUCCUCAAGCAUGUAAUAACUUUAUUCAAACUACUGUCUGGUCAACUUUAGGGCAUUUUUUUAUUACAAUGCCAAUCCCCAGCCACUCAGUUUAAUGUAGUAUCCACAAGUAAUAAAUGAAAUAUAAUUUCCCAAAGGGUAUAUGAAAAGCUUUGUACCAUGUAAGUUUGAUGAUUGGGGAUAGUUUUGAAAGUAGCUCAGUUGUAUUUUGACAAUGGACAUAUUUCCAAGGGUAUAGAAAAGUGGGAUGGGUGAUAAAAAGUGAGGAUGUACUUCUAUUCAUUUGAUGCAGUUUAUUGUUUAUUGUUUAGUUUCUUUUUGCCCCUGUUCCUAACAAGUGAUAAAAAAGGUCCCUGGGAUAUACUAAAGCACCAUUGAAUUUUUUCAUAGCUGAAUCAAUCUCAACUCUGUUGUAUUUUUGUCACUGAAUAUUUAACAAAAUCGCAAAUACUUUUGAAACAAAAUGAACCCAAGGCAAAUUCAUAAGCCUUGUCCAUGACCUAUUUGGGCAUAUUAACAUUACAAUGACGAAUUAAGUAAUCCAAACAUUAUUUCUGUAGUAUGUACAAUAGGAUUUAUAAACUGCACUGGGCCCUGUUUCAUAAAACUUGUUUUCAAUAAGAAAUUUGCUCCCAACCGAUCAAAUGCCAUAAUUUCAGUAACUUAUAACAGACAUUGUAACUUGUUAUUGAUAACAAAUUUUAUGAAACAGUGCCCUGGAGUUGAUUCCUUGAAAGUCCUUGCGAUCGUGUUCAGGAAUCUUGGUGGUAAAGUGGUAAAGGCACUUGACUCUCAUACAAGAGGUUCUAGGUUCAAUCCUUGAUCAGUGCUUACAUCCUUGGGCAAGGAUGGUUUUGCCCACAAUUUGGCCCUCUCUACCAAGGUGUAAAUAUAUAGGUACCUGGCCUCGCUAGGGUGAUGAUUAUUGCAGCUUCUUCAGGAAGAGCAGUAACAAAACCGGUGUGGCUUACCUCUGUAAAUUUAACCAAAAUUGCUUUUAAUUUAUUGUAUUUUUCUGUUGAUCAUGCUGACAAAAGACCAGAAAUCUUUAUUUAAACUACAUGUAUCUGUAAAGGCUGUUCUCUUUUUGUCGAUUCAGCAUUACCUUUAUUAAGCGUUCUGAAAAAGGGAUUAAUUCUUUCACCUGUGACUUGAUUACUUUCCUUUUCCCCUCGUGAGGGUGUAAUUUGUGGUCGGUUUGAAGGUUCCGAUCUAUGAUUUGACAUGUGGAUAACGAUUUGGUUUCACUUGACAUAGUGCAUUUGCUUGUUGCUUUUGUUUAUAUAAAUCUUGCAUUGGAUUUUAAAUGGAUUUGAAAAUCCUCAUAUUAAACACUUAAAACGAUAUAAAACGAUAUAAAACGAUGAAAGGACAGUGUUUGAACCCAAUUUUUCUUCUGAUGGGAGAUAAUGAAAUCUCGCAGUGCCUCGGACAGAAUGAUUAUGAAUACAUACACGUACAUGGAUGCUCAUCCUAUUCUAUGUUCUAUUUAAAAUUAAAAAUAAAAAUGUUAAAAUACGAACAACCGGUUAGUCAAAUGUUGUGAUCUGAUAUUGAUACAGUCCAUAGGCCUGUAGUGUUCUCUGACUUUUUAUGCGUUCUAUUAAAUAUGACGUUUUAUGCAGUGUAUUGCUUUCCGAAAUUUUGUUUGCAUUCGAUAUUGUGUUCUGACUAUUCAUGCAUUUGUGUAUUAGACAUUUAAUGCAGUGUAUUCGGUUUUGACUUUUUAAGCAUUUUGUGUUUUAUGACGUUUCAUACAGAUUUUCUAGUGUUCUGACAUUGUAUGCAAUCUACAUUGUAAAUAGUUUUCUGUCACACAGUUUAUAUGCAGUCUACAUGUAGUUUGGUCUAGUGGGAACAGCCCCCUUGCAGUGUGAACCUAAUCACGCUCUUCAUCUACCAUUGUGCACCCUAUUACCACUGAGGAUAGCAGGGGAAUCGGAUUUGGGGCUUACACCAAUGCCCCGCCCCGACUCCGGUUACAAAUUGAGAAAUAGGUGUGAAGAAAGUGCAAUGAAAUUGUCAGAAAUGAACUCAAAGGGGGAAAAGGAGAGAGAAAAAAAAAUGGGAGAGCAUGAAGUGUAAUUGAGUUGCCAACCGAUUUAGAGAUUUAGUGGAGUAGGACCGCGAGGGUACAAGGAGUGUUGAAGGUUCAGGGGUGUUUUUAUUAAGGUAUUUUCAGUUAAGCCAGACCUAUUCAGAGCAUAUUUUUGUACUUGAUUCAUGUUGUUGAUUGCUGGAGGAGCUAAGAAAAGAUGGAUAUGGAGU
rnacentral:lncRNA from 1 species